rnacentral:siRNA from 1 species
UGUAAAAUCUUAUCGAACACUGCC